AUUGAACGCUAGCGGGAUGCCUUACACAUGCAAGUCGAACGGAGUGGCGAACGGGUUAGUAAUGUAUCGGAACGUGCCCAGUAGCGGGGGAUACCUACGCGAAAGCGUAGCUAAUACAGCAUACUCUUGGAGCGGCCGCUAGGGGCUUAGCUAGUUGGUGGGGUAACGGCUCACCAAGGCGACGAUCCGUAGCUGGUUUGAGAGGACGACCCGCCACACUGGGACUGGGACACGGCCCAGGCUCCUACGUGAGGCAGCAGUGGGGAAGUGUGGACAAUGGGGGAAACCCUGAUCCAGCAAGCCCGCGUGUGCGAUGAAGGCCUUCGGGUUGUAAAGCACUUUUGGCAGGAAAGCGGUACCUGCAGAAUAAGCACCGGCUAACUACGUGCCAGCCGCCGCGGUAAUUC
rnacentral:rRNA from 1 species